CCCCGCAGCCGCAGCCCCGGCCCCUACCUUCUCCUUCUCCUUCCGCUUCCCUCCCACCCCACACCGCAAGCCCAAACAAAACGCAACGCGAACCAGCCACACGAAUCCACCAGCGCACGCGCACCGUCACGCGAGGGGCCCUCCCUUCUCGCCCCGUCCGGACCCCCGCCCGUCGCCGUCUCUCCCGUCGCGCGCGCCACGCGAACGGCACCUAGGCGAAGCGGCGCACGAUGAGGCCGGGCGGGCCGCCGAACUCGCGUGCGCUGCAGCCGCCGGGCACGCCGGGGCGGUCGCGCCGGCGCCCGGACCUCACCCUGCCGCUGCCGCAGCGGGAUCUGACCUCCCUCGCCGUGCCUCUGCCCCUCCCGCCGCCGCCGUCCUCCGCGCCGUCGUCGGGGUCGCUGUCGGCGCCGGCGUCGCUCGGCGCGCCCACCCCGCCGACCUCGGCCGGCGCCGCGCCGCCGAACCCGCCGCCGCUGUGCGAGCUGGAGCGCGUGCGGCGCGUCGGGAGCGGCGCCGGCGGGACGGUGUGGAUGGUGCGCCACCGCCCCACGGGCCGCGCCUACGCGCUCAAGGUGCUCUACGGCAACCACGACGACGCGGUGCGGCGGCAGAUCACGCGCGAGAUCGCCAUCCUCCGCACCGCCGAGCACCCGGCCGUGGUGCGCUGCCACGGCAUGUACGAGCAGGCCGGGGAGCUCCAGAUCCUGCUGGAGUACAUGGACCAGGGGUCGCUCGAGAGCCACCGCAUCGCCGACGAGCGCUUCCUGGCGCACGUGGCGCGCCAGGUGCUGUCGGGCAUCGCCUACCUCCACCGCCGCCACAUCGUGCACCGCGACAUCAAGCCCUCCAACCUGCUCAUCGACUCCGGGCGCCGCGUCAAGAUCGCCGACUUCGGCGUGGGCCGCAUCCUGAACCAGACCAUGGACCCCUGCAACUCCUCCGUGGGCACCAUCGCCUACAUGAGCCCCGAGCGCAUCAACACCGACCUCAACGACGGCGCCUACGACGGCUACGCCGGCGACAUCUGGAGCUUCGGCCUCAGCAUCCUCGAGUUCUACCUGGGCCGCUUCCCGCUCGGCGAGAACCUGGGGAAGCAGGGCGACUGGGCCGCGCUCAUGUUCGCCAUCUGCUACUCCGACUCGCCGCAGGCGCCGUGCAACGCCUCGCCGGACUUCAAGAACUUCAUCAGCCUCUGCCUACAGAAGAACCCGGUGAACCGUCCGUCCGCGAUGCGGCUGCUGCAGCACCCGUUCGUGGCCCAGCCGCAGCCGCAGCCCCUGGCCGCCCCGCCGUCAUGAUGGCUCGCCGAAAUCCACAAUUCAUGACCGAUUUGAUUGAUUGAUUGCUUCCCGUCGUGGUACAACUGAAGGCGGCGGGCGGAUUGAUCUCUCACCUUGUCGCCUGACCUUUGGGGUGGAUGGAUGGUUGGUUGCAUGAUUGGUUGUGGAUGGCCAUGAGAUGCGGUACCUAGAGACGUUCCUCCUAAUCCUAGCUAGGCAUGCAAGUGGCUCAGGACAAGCCGCUAACCCGCAGGGCUGACCGCACCUCGCCGCAACGACCCGCAUCCGCAUACCCCGACGGCGUACUGGAGCUCGGAAAGGCGCGCACAUGGCGUUCCGCGGAUUAUGGCGCCGCCUUGUAUUUCCCUGUCCGAUCGUUGAAGCAGCAGCAGAGGGAUCGAGUUGAUGCAGAGCAGCAGAAGACGAGAGCCACGCCGCCGCCGCAGAAGUGUCAUCGUCGGCGCCGUUUGUCUCCAACUCCUUGCAGGAAAGGAAGAGGAAUGCGGAGGCAUAGGUCACGGUCGGUCGGUGCCAUGGCCGAGGCGGGGAUGAAGCGCAGCUUGAUUGGUGUCCCAUGUUCCAUGUG
rnacentral:misc_RNA from 1 species